GCCCUUAGAUUCCACACAUGAACGAGAUCCCAAGGCAUCAUUGGUCUUCCUGUGCCUGGCUUGCUCUUGUCUCAUCACCUGCUGAAGAUCACCGUGGGGAACAUGGAGGUGGCAUUCCGUUCUUUGCUCUUUCCUUCGAGAUUAGAAAACCAAUAUUAGUAAACCUCCCCACUCGAAGGUGCCUGGGAACUGACACCUCCUUGUGAGAUCGUAUGAAGGGAUACCUCCUGCUUUGUGAUGCUCUGGGCAAGUAUUUGAAGGUAUCCCAGAGGCAGGGAAGAACCGUGUGGCAUUGAGAUGGAUCUAUCGCUGGGAUGUACGGAGUUUGACGCUGUCACCUUCCAGAUGCUAGUGUCCCUCAGGGGCUGGAACUCAGGAAGUCAUCCCAACUCAGAGCAGACUCUAGUUCCCUGUGAGAAUCUGGCCUGGCUUUCUUCAAGCCAACUUUCCAUACUGACUGGAUUCUGGUGAUGGAAGAGACUGCAACAGUGUCCUGACCCAUCUUCCGUUGUCUAACAAAAUACCUGAGACUAUGUGCUUAAAAAAUAUUUAAAUCUUUUAAAUUUAUUAUUUUUGUUGUUAUUGUUCUUUUUUAAAAAAAAAAAAAAACUUUAUUAUAAAAAAGUUGCCAAUAAAAAUUCCUCCUUCGAGAGUGACUCUCUUCACCAGGCCAGACUUGACAGGUCAUGGCACGUGAAAACACUGGCUAGAGAAAGCAUGGCAGCUGGGUUUGGUGGCACUGACUUGCGAUCCAGGACUCAGGAGGCUGCAGCAGCAAGGUUACCAGCAAGAGGCCAGCACGGCCUACAUCGUAAGCCCCUGUCUCAAGAAACAAGACAAACUAUGGCUGCAUGGCUUGCAUUGAUCACAUGUAACCUGUCGCUUUGUGUUCCUUCAUGCGUUCACAAGAUGUCCCAGCUCCAGCCAUGAGGAUUGUAACAAGUCACCAUGUCUCUAGGAGUCUCAGUCAGUGAACUUGUGAAAUGAUCGUGAUAACGUCAGACAGAUACAAUGACUACAGGAGACCCUGUGUGUGGAAGCGGCUUGUCGACAGCUCUCAGCAGUCACGACUUUCAUGAACAUGGACUUCUGUUAGAGCAGUUCUCCUGGGACCUUCCCAGGCAUGAAGGCUGAUCUGGUGUCCCAGUGGGGCUAGAGUCCCCCCCUUGGGAAGGUGGAGGCCAGCACUUUUAGGGGUCUCAUAUAAAACAUAGUCUCUGAGUCCACUAUCCCCAUGUACCAGCCUGGGAAAGAGUCCUGGGAACUGACACUUACCUGAUAUGGUGUGUGUUGAGAAUCAUUUUAGGAAAGACACAUGGACUUGGAAUCUAGUCUUAGCACCCAUGGGAGGUGGUCCAGGGCAAACCCUCAUCUUACAGAAGAACAAACUGGAAAGGAACCUUCUCCAUGAUGCAGUAGUAGAUACUCAGUUACAAAUUAAAUCUAGGGCCCGGGAAAUAGCCCAGUGAAAUACUUGCCACACAUGCAUGAGGAACUGUGCUCCACCUCCAGUACUCAUCUAAAAAAACAGCACGGUGGCUUGAGCUUGUAGUACCAGCACUCAAGAUGUUUGUUGACUGAGUUGGGUCCCUAGUCUUGCUGACCAGCUAGUAUACCUUAAUUGGUGAGCUCCAGGUUCCAGUGAGAGACCCUGUCUCAAAAACAGGGGGGGGGGUCUCCUAAAGAAUGAUGCAUGAGGUUGACUCUGGCCCCCAUGGAUACAGCUAUUCACAUAUACACAUGUUUACCUUCACAUACAUGUACACACACACACACACACACACCACAAAUAAUGUUUCUUAUGCUCCCUUUAGGGACAAUGGUAUGUUUACUGCCCGUGGCAUGCUUUACCACAGGACACCUGUAAACACCAUUCUUGGGAUCCAUGUCCAAGCUAACCUAAGGCAGCUUGGCAUGCUUUUUAUCAUUGGAGGUCCAGGGCAAGUCAGCUUGCUAGGCUUUACUGGUUUGUGACAAAUGCAGCAAGGAAUCAGCACAGACCCAAAGUCCAAGAUGAAGGCUUGGGCAGGGUUGAUUCCUUCUGAGAGCUGUUAGGGAUCUUCUAGGCUCACACGGAAGAGGUAAAGGCUGGAGCCAAGUGGAUGGCUAGCAGUAGAGCUGUGCAGAUCCUGUGCCAGGUGAUGUACACAUAUCUAGUUUAUGUCUCAGCCAGGUCCUCAAGGAAAAUGCUGAAGACCCGUCCCCAUUUUACAGACGGGAAGACUAGAAGUUGGUCUCCAGAUUUCUGUCUGGAAAGGUGUCUGGGAGUGAGUCCAGGGUUGGUGGAGAAGCAGAAGAUCCUACAGGGUAAUGACUGUGGCUCACACUGAAGGCGUCUCCUCCUGGCCCACGUCAGGUCACAGGCCAGACCCAUUGGGAAUAGGGAAUUUGCAACUUUCUCAACUCUGGUACCCUAGUGGGCAUCCUCUGGUGCUCUGUGGAUGGGCCUAGACUAUUCUGUGGAGCUUAAUGCUGCAGUUGUGUUUAUAUUCCCAAGUUUCUCUUCCCCAGUAGCCAAAUCUGAGUUUCCUCUUGGCCCAUAAUGGUUAAUAUUGGCUAUCAACUUGACAGGCUCUGGAGUUGUCUGGAAGAUAAACUUCUGGCCAUAUGUAUUUAAAGGCCUUUCUAGGUUAUGUUAAUUGAGGAAAGACGCACCCUGAAUGUGGGCAGUACUAUUCUGUGGACUGAGGUCCUGGACAAAAUAAAAUGGAGCUAGUGAGCAGAGUACCGGUAUUCAUCAUCCUCCGCUUCCUGACUGUGUACAAUGUGAUCAGCCACCUCAUGCAUCCACCCCAGGAUGGACCUCACCCCCAUAAACUGUAAGCCAGAAUAAACUCUGCCCCUCUUAA